rnacentral:rRNA from 1 species
CCUACUUCCGUAGGUGAACCUGCGGAAGGAUCAUUAUCGAGUUUUGAACGGGUUGUAGCUGGCCUUUAACGAGGUAUGUGCACGCCUGGCUCAUCCACUCUCAACCUCUGUGCACUUUAUGUAAGAAACGGUGUAAGCCAGCUAUUUAUUAGUUGGUCAUAAGCCUUUCUUAUGUUNACUACAAACGCUUCAGUUAUAGAAUGUUUACUGUGUAUAACACAAUUAUAUACAACUUUCAGCAACGGAUCUCUUGGCUCUCGCAUCGAUGAAGAACGCAGCGAAAUGCGAUAAGUAAUGUGAAUUGCAGAAUUCAGUGAAUCAUCGAAUCUUUGAACGCACCUUGCACUCCUUGGUAUUCCGAGGAGUAUGCCUGUUUGAGUCUCAUGGAAUUCUCAACCCCUAAAUUUUGUAAUGAAGUUUAGUGGGCUUGGACUUGGAGGUUGUGUCGGCUUCUAGUCGACUCCUCUGAAAUGNAUUAGCGUGAAUCUUACGGAUCGCCUUCAGUGUGAUAAUUAUCUGCGCUGUGGUGUUGAAGUAUUUAUUAGUUCGUGCUUAUAAUCGUCUCUUACCGAGACAAUUUAUGACAAUCUGAGCUCAAAUCAGGUAGGACUACCCGCUGAACUUAAGCAUAUCAAUAAGCGGGAGGA